rnacentral:rRNA from 1 species
CCUACGGGAGGCAGCAGUGAGGGAUAUUGGACAAUGGGGGGAACCCUGAUCCAGCGACGCCGCGUGAGUGAAGAAGUAUCUCGGUAUUUAAAGCUCUAUCAGCAGGGAAGAAGAAAUGACGGUACCUGAGUCAGUAGCCCCGGCUAACUACGUGCCAGCAGCCGCGGUCAUACGUAGGGGGCCAGCGUUAUCCGGUAUUAAUGGGUGUAAAGGGAGCGUAGGCGGUGAUGUAAGUCUGGAGUGAAAGGCGGGGGCCCAACCCCCGGACUGCUGUGGAAACUGUGGGACUGGAGUACAGGAGAGGUGAGCGGAAUUCGUGGUGUAGCGGUGAAAUGCGUAGAUAUUAGGAGGAACACCAGUGGCGAAGGCGGCUCACUGGACUGUAACUGACGCUGAGGCUCGAAAGCGUGGGGAGCGAACAGGAUUAGAUACCCUAGUAGUC